ensembl:lncRNA
GCCCAAAAGCAAAGUUGUGUCUGCCGCGCGGACUCAGGAGGCCUGCAGGCAGCGGACGCCCCACAAGCCUCCAGGGCCUGGACCCGGGGGGGGGGGGGGGGCGGUGCAACAUUUGCCCCAACCGGUGAGUUUCGCUGGCUAAUCGGUGCCCGACGGAAGCCGUCACCGCCGCCGUCUGUUGGGUUAUCCAGCCCGUUGGGGACAGAACUGAAAUCCCUCUUUCCACCCACUCUUCGGUCAGGCGGCCGCGCGCCCGCGGGUGUCUGGGUGGCUGUCAGGACACUUCCCAGGUGCCCCUACCUGGAGAUCUGCCCCCACGCGGUGAACUGGGCCUGGCACGUGCCUUGGUGCCACCAGCUUUCCCCCUCCCCGUCUCCUCUCCCUCCUCCCCUUUCCCCUCCCCGUCUCCUCUCCCUCCUCCCCUUCCCCCUCCCCAUCUCCUCUCCCUCCUCCCCUUUCCCCUCCCCGUCUCCUCUCCCUCCUCCCCUUUCCCCUCCCCGUCUCCUCUCCCUCCUCCCCUUCCCCCUCCCCAUCUCCUCUCCCUCCUCCCCUUUCCCCUCCCCAUCUCCUCUCCCUCCUCCCCUUUCCCCUCCCCAUCUCCUCUCCCUCCUCCCCUUUCCCCUCCCCGUCUCCUCUCCCUCCUCCCCUUCCCCCUCCCCAUCUCCUCUCCCUCCUCCCCUUUCCCCUCCCCGUCUCCUCUCCCUCCUCCCCUUUCCCCUCCCCAUCUCCUCUCCCUCCUCCCCUUCCCCCUCCCCAUCUCCUCUCCCUCCUCCCCUUUCCCCUCCCCGUCUCCUCUCCCUCCUCCCCUUUCCCCUCCCCGUCUCCUCUCCCUCCUCCCCUUUCCCCUCCCCAUCUCCUCUCCCUCCUCCCCUUUCCCCUCCCCGUCUCCUCUCCCUCCUCCCCUUUCCCCUCCCCGUCUCCUCUCCCUCCUCCCCUUUCCCCUCCCCGUCUCCUCUCCCUCCUCCCCUUCCCCCUCCCCAUCUCCUCUCCCUCCUCCCCUUUCCCCUCCCCGUCUCCUCUCCCUCCUCCCCUUCCCCCUCCCCAUCUCCUCUCCCUCCUCCCCUUUCCCCUCCCCAUCUCCUCUCCCUCCUCCCCUUCCCCCUCCCCAUCUCCUCUCCCUCCUCCCCUUUCCCCUCCCCAUCUCCUCUCCCUCCUCCCCUUUCCCCUCCCCAUCUCCUCUCCCUCCUCCCCUUUCCCCUCCCCAUCUCCUCUCCCUCCUCCCCUUUCCCCUCCCCAUCUCCUCUCCCUCCUCCCCUUUCCCCUCCCCAUCUCCUCUCCCUCCUCCCCUUUCCCCUCCCCAUCUCCUCUCCCUCCUCCCCUUCCCCCUCCCCAUCUCCUCUCCCUCCUCCCCUUCCCCCUCCCCAUCUCCUCUCCCUCCUCCCCUUUCCCCUCCCCAUCUCCUCUCCCUCCUCCCCUUUCCCCUCCCCAUCUCCUCUCCUCCUUCUCUUCCCCCACUUCCUUCUCCAUCUCCGCUUCCUCUUCCUCCUAGUCUCCUCCCUCCUCCCCUCCCUCCUCCCCUUCCCCCUCCCCAUCUCCUCUCCCUCCUCCCCUCCCUCCUCCCCUCCCUCCUCCCCUUCAGUAAAUAAUUUUCACUCCAUCCAGAAAAGCUCUCUUCCUGUCUGCUCUCAAUGCCUCCUUCUUCCCCGCCCGGUGACGGGAUCCCCGUCUGUUUCCCUCUGUUUAAUGCCGUUGCCGGGACCACGGUGGCCGCGCGCCAGGGCGCAGGGAGUUCCGGAGGCGGCGGCGGCUCCUCGGCCAGCGCGCCCCCGGUCCGCCCGGGGCGGCUCCUGCGGCCACCCCGGGGCCACCGCGGUCGGUCCCCGGCCGCGGCCCCUGCGCUCCCUUCCGCCCGUCGGCGCGGCCUGCGCGCGGGUGUGUUUAUCGCCGCUACCAGGAGAGACGCUACACGGGUUUUAUUUUAAGGAUCGGUGA